CAUCUCCGGGCUACAGUCCAUCUUCCCCUGGAUACAGUCCUACAUCUCCUGGAUACAGUCCUACCUCACCUGGUUACAGCCCUACCUCUCCCGGAUAUAGCCCAACUUCACCAACCUACAGCCCCAGUUCUCCUGGCUAUAGCAUAUAAAAUAUGUGAAAUUUCAUCAUUGGUUGUUUCGUACUAUUUCCAAACAAAAAACGUUUUUUGCAUUACAUCUUCUAACUAAAAAAAAGUGAAUGCAAAAAAGAAAGAAACAAUGUAUGAUUUAAAUUUUUAUUGGUUAAAGAAAUAAUGAACUACAACUCUAUUUUUAUUAAAAAAAAAAAUAUCCGAACCAGAAUGAAAAAAUAUGACGUCGUGUCUUGAUCCUAAAUUCUAUGUCGACUUACUUGGUUAGAAUUUAGGUUAAUUAUGUAAUAUCCUUUAUAUAUUGUUCUAAAAUCAAUAUUUU
rnacentral:lncRNA from 1 species